UAACAGCAUAACAUCACAACUCACCUGUAAAAAAAUGUUUUCUCACUCUCUCGAUCACAACUUACGAGAACACUUCAUUUCAGAUAUUUGCAUCUGAUCUUUACUUGAACAAAAUAUUUUUCUCUCUCAAGCUCAACUCUUUGUUUAUCUUUUGAUUUUCCCUUCUUUUACUCAAAUGCCUAAGUCAAAUCAAAUUUGAUGAAACACAAAGCGAAAAUUACUGGAGGAGCUUACACCAGAAUGAAUUUUGCUCCAAUUAUGUUAAAUCGGAUUUUCUUUCUCUAUUUUUUCUUCAGUUCGACCUAGGGUCUGAGCUACUGUUAUGAUCCUUUUGGUCUUAGCAAGAAGCAGAAGACUUCACCAAAUAUUGAUAAGGUGAUCCAUGCCAGAUGGGCUAUGCUCGGCACUGCUGGAUUUAUUUUCCCUAAAGCCUUCAACAAAUUUGGUGUCAACUGUGCUUCUGAGGCUGUUUGGUUCAAGGAAUGACGGUUUACGUUCAAGCCUGAAAUGCGGGGUGUUACAACGUCCUCCCGGAAGUGAGAGCGAGGUUACAACGUUCAAAAUCCGUUGUAUCAAAGAUAACUACCUUGUUAUCACGCAGGAGUUGCAUGUGCACCGCGGAUAUGCCAAUGCUUUUCUGCAACAUCCGCCCUUGGCCUAGGAGGCGUCUACGACUAUGAGAAACCAACAUCUGAGAAGCUAAUGGAGGUUGAAGAGCGGGAAACAUUAGUACUAGUAAGAAGAGGAAAAUGAUACUUUCCUUGUCCAUAAGUUGAAAAUAUUUUUUAUGUUAAGUUUGAUAGAAUUUAGGAGUUUUAUAGUUAGUGUCCAUAUAUUUAUAUUCCAAGAAAGUAUUGAAUUCAAGCUGAAUUGAAUUAGAAUUCAAAGAAAAUGACUUCAUCACUAAGUGAAAUUCUGUUUUUUCAUGUGCCCAGAAAGUAAGGGGCUGCCAGAAUUUUGCUGGAAUUUGCA